AAUCUCUAGAAUUAACCACGGUGGUAACCAGAAAUAAGAACAGAACAUUCAGAAAUUAAUUAUUAUCUUAUCUUAUUAUAUUAUUACUUGACAAUGACAUCCGCACAAACUGAAAUGCCCAUAAGAAAGCAGGUCUGCCAGUUGAACUCUACAACAAUAAUCACAUUGUCAAGAUGUGGAGACAACAGCUAAAGAAGAGAAAGCCAGAAGAACAUAAAAUUGUGAAAGUGCUAUGAUCUGGUAAGGGCAAGGAUCCACAUGCUACAGUCAACAUGUUCCAUUAGGCCUAGUGGAGAGAGCUUGAAGAUGGACAUGGUAGUGCUUUUUCUGCAUGACAGGUGCUGAGAGCCGAAAGUGGGAGCAGUUCCUGGUGGUGAUGGGUUCCCAUCUUUGUGUGCUGUGACAUUUGUCUCUCUCACUGAGUGUAUCAUUGCCGCGUGUGUGUGUGUGUGACCAAGCACGUGUGAUUGGGUGCCUCCUUCGGAUACUCAUUAUUAUCCACUGCCCUCCCACCGGUAAGCCUCAGCCCUCUUCCUGUUUUAUGUGUAUGUGAAUUUACAGUGUAAAAAUAAAUAAUUGUUUUU